AUUUUGUUUUUCUGGUCACAUACACUGUACCCGGUCUGAACAGAUUUUUUAGCAUGAAGUUUGAGGCCCCUACUCUCCAAGCCCUUUCUCAUAGUGAGUGCCGUUCUCGUUUCUCUACCAAGACACAAUCAGACACCAUCUCACCUUGACAGUCACUUCCACAAGCAUUGUACCAUUUUAUGACACAUAAUUCUCACUUCUUUUCCCUAGGCAACUAGGACUGAAAAAUUUAUAGGCUACUUCUGGAAAGGACGGUGAAUCCAACAGGAAAACACUCCAAAUGCAGGGAUUAAGAAGCUGUCUAUGUGAUGCUAUUUUUUCAAUGAAAAAGAAUGAAGGAAAGAAACUGCAGUCUGCCCUGAGCAGCUCCACUUCUGCAGAGAAGUUCACUUCACCGCAUCAGUCUUCUGCCAAACUGAAGGCUGCUCCAGGCCACUGAGUUGCCUGCCGUCCAAAGGGGUUGGGCAGGAUUGGAAGGAGGCUGUGGCAGCUCUUUUCCCUGUUCACCUCCCCUGCCAGGGAAGGCAGGACCCACACUGCCAAGCGUCUUCUGUGUGUUCCCUUCUCUCCGAGGAAUAGGAAUUGUCAUCUCUGAGGAAUAGGAAUUUUCCUCUCUGGCGCACGUAAGGCAGAAUGCUUCCUAACACCAGUGUGUGGAUUUUAAACAUCACUGUGAGUCUGAAAGGACCACAGGUUUUUCUGCAGCUAUUUUCUAGCAUUUGCCAGUCCCUGUGCCUGGUCUGAUUUGAAUACUUUGUUUUUCUCCCUGUGCCAUUUACCCUCCCACCUUUCCAUCCUGUCUUCUACCACCUUUGGAUGAAUGGAUUUUGUAAUCCUAGCUGCUGUAUAUUGUGGAUUUGUUAUUUUUGUUGUUUUUCUGUGAAGCACAUACAUUGGAUAUGGGAGUAAAGGAGUGUUCCAGUUGCUCCUGGUCACUCCCUUUAUAGCCGUUACUGUCUUGUAUCUUGUAAUUCAGGUUAGGUUUUGGUCUCUCUUGCUCCACUGGAAAAAAAAAAAAAAAUCCUGAAGAGGUGAGACAAGGGGAAAGACCUCACAACCCGAUCUGCUGGUUUUGGGGAGUGAUUUUCUUCCUUCGUCUUGAAGGGGAAAAAGCUAUUUUCAUUUAAAGUCCCCCAACUAUGGGGAGGUACCAAUUCUGGACAAGGGCCACUGCAACAACACUAAGCCUGAACUUUUCAACUCCGUUGAAGGUGGGAGGCAGCAGACAGAAAUAUACUGUUGGCCACUUUCAGGUCUGUUUUAUAUUUCAGAGGAAUAUUGAGUGUUGCAAAUAGGAACUGAAGGGGUAAAUGUAUUAAACCUGGGAUUAUUUGAUGUUUUCCUGUUAUUUUAAGAAAUUAAAUGUGAAGGGGCAGAUGUCAAAAUACUUGUACAAUUUUAAAAUGUCACAAUUAAACAUGAGCUGGUUUCCAAAAGAAAAAAGAAAAGAAAAAAAGAAAAUCUAGAAAUCUCUUCAUAAUUGACUAGAAAUCUCUUCAAAACUGACCUCUUUUUAAGUCUGUGAAGUGGGCUAAGGUUUACUUAGUUGUUUUUGUUUUCUUCUGUUUCUUUAUACUGAUCUGUAAAAUCUAAUGCUUUUGUGGUAGAUAUAAAUUUAUUGUGUAAAAUACAAAUAU
ensembl:lncRNA